GCUCGGUUAGCUUAAAUAAAGCACCACUUUGAAGGGGUGGGGAUGUCGUGGA
rnacentral:tRNA from 1 species